AGUACGCGAUAUAUUAGUCUUCGUCGGGCGUACUCGCGAGAUCGGCCGCCGCGCCGAGCCAACAGCGGUUUCAUCGAUCGUUACCAUCCGGAGUUUGCGACUCGUAGAGUCGUAGAUCGGCCGAUUUAUCAUGGCGAGACACACGCCUCUUCAACUCUUAAUACUAUUCGCUUUCGUGAUCGUCAUCGGCCAAUCACGAACAGCUUCACGUGUUGAUGACACCGAUGUUCGUAACAAGUAUGACGUUCAAGUUAGGAAACCGUU